rnacentral:rRNA from 1 species
UACGAAGGGGGCAAGCGUUACUCGGAAUUAUUGGGCGUAAAGCGUGCGCAGGCGGUUUUAUAAGUUGAAAGUGAAAGCCUUUGGCUCAACCAAAGAAUUGCUUACAAAACUGUAAAACUAGAGUAUUAGAGAGGAUAGAAGAAUUCCUGAUGUAGGGGUGAAAUCCGUAGAUAUCAGGAGGAAUAUCGAAGGCGAAAGCAUCUAUCUGGCUAAAUACUGACGCUGUUGCACGAAAGCGUGGGGAGCAAACAGG